rnacentral:lncRNA from 1 species
CACAUUUCUACAUAUCCCCAGAUAGCUUGGAUCUGACUGCACAUUAUUAGAUGAAUGGCACUCAGAUCACACGAAUAAGCCUUUCUGCAGGGAAAAUAAACAGUUUAACCUGCAGGGCCAUAGUCCAAAGGCAAGAGGCGGGCAAGCAGCCCCCUCCAAGGACACGUGGCGAGGUCGGUUUUGCCACAUAGUGGUUCUGGUGUCUAUAGUCUGUCCCUACAGGCUCUUCAAUGUAAACACUGACUCUUUAGAGAAAAGGCAGUGUUUACAUUGCUUCCUAGUGACAGACACUCAGACGGUCACUAGAGGUGCUUCCUGUGUCAGUGUGGAUUGGCUGAGAUCAUCAAGCUUGACUCCCAGACUAACCUCACAUAUACCUCUCUUGCUCUCUCCUAAAAGGCAGCCCACCUUAUUUGAUUGCAAAUUCCUGUCCUAUUGUUUUUUACACCCCACCUCCUAUAGAAUGUAAGAAAAUGCUUUCCUAUGGGGAAAUGAGCGACGCUGGAGGUUCUCACAUAGCGUGAGGAUGUCCAGCGACGCUCUAGCACAGGUUUCCUGUGCUAGAAACCAGGAUUUGCCCUCUAGUGGCUGUCUAGCACACAGCCACUAGAGGUGGAGGUAACCAUGCAAGGUAAUUAUUGCAGUUUAUAAUAAAAAAAAACUGCAAUAAUUACACUUACAGGGUUAAGAGUAGUGGGAGUUGGCACCCAGACCACUCCAAUGGGCAGAAGUUGUCUGGGUGCCUGGAGUGUCCCUUUAAUAUUUAACUUUAGAUUUCCUUUCCGAUAAUGGUAGUAAUAAAAAAAAAAAUAGAAAGCACCUUCCCUAGUUCCUCCUUCCAUACUAUACAACCCGACAAUCCUCAAACCUUCCCGAUAUCUGCUUGUACCUCUUGGGGACAGGAUAUGCAGGGACUAACUUGAUGAUCUCAGCCAUAGAGGCAGGUCCAGUCGAGGGGAGACCAGCACGUCGUGGGGGGAAAGGUGAGUAAAAACACACAGACCGUGACACAGCCACACAUUACAUGACACACACCCCACGACACAAAGACCGUGACACAGAAACACACAAUGACACAGACAGACCGUGAGACACAGACACUGACGCACAUAAUUGCUACCUGUGUGCUGGCGGACACAUGGGGGAGCUGGCUCUUUUGUCUCUGCUCCCCCGCCCCAGCGUGCAGCUUAAUGAGACCGGGUCCGGAAUAUGACGUCAUAUUCCGGCCCCGGUCUCAGUAAGCAGCGUGAGGGCGGGGGAGCAGAGACAGAACAUCCAGCUGCCUGCCCGGCCCCAGGUGCUGACGGCCCACCGGGAAAUUUCCUGUUAUCCCAGUGGGCCAGUCUGGCCCUGCUCCCAAUCCCCAGUAACUUACCAGAGGUAGCGACUAUGUCCCAAGUCGCUGCUUCUUCCUCCGUGCCGCUCCUCCCUGUGAUUGCGUCGGCUGAUGGGCGAGAUUGAUCCCCCCCCCCCACCGGCCGGGGAGACCUAAUGUGCAUGAGCAUUAGAGCUCCCCAUAGGAAAGCAUUAAAAAUGCUUUCCUAUGGGGAAAUGAGCGACGCUGGAGGUUCUCACAUAUCGUGAGGAUGUCCAGCGACGCUCCAGCACAGGUUUCCUGUGCUAGAAACCAGGAAUUGCUCUCUAGUGGCUGUCUAGCACACAGCCACUAGAGGUGGAGGUAACCCUGCAAGGUAAUUAUUGCAGUUUAUAAAAAAAAAACUGCAAUAAUUACACUAACGGGGUUAAGAGUGGUGGGAGUUGGCACCCAGACCACUCCAAUGGGCAGAAGUUGUCUGGGUGCCUGGAGUGUCCCUUUAAUAUUUAACUUUAGAUUUCCUUUCCGAUAAUGGUG